rnacentral:rRNA from 1 species
AACGAACGCUGGCGGCGUGCCUAACACAUGCAAGUCGUGCGAGAAAGUUCCUUCGGGAGCGAGUAAAGCGGCGCACGGGUGAGUAACACGUAGGUAACCUGCCCCCCAGUCUGGAACAACUAGAGGAAACUCUAGCUAAUGCCGGAUGAGACCACGAUCCCUUCGGGGGUUGCGACCAAAGAUGGCCUCUACUUGUAAGCUAUCGCUGAGGGAUGGGCCUGCGGGCCAUUAGCUUGUUGGUGAGGUAACGGCUCACCAAGGCUGUGAUGGCUAGCUGGUCUGAGAGGAUGACCAGCCACACUGGGACUGAGACACGGCCCAGACUCCUACGGUAGGCAGCAGUGGGGAAUAUUGCGCAAUGGGCGAAAGCCUGACGCAGCGACGCCGCGUGGGUGAUGAAGGCC